rnacentral:rRNA from 1 species
UACGUAGGGUGCGAGCGUUGUCCGGAAUUAUUGGGCGUAAAGGGCUCGUAGGCGGUUUGUCGCGUCGGGAGUGAAAACUCAGGGCUUAACCCUGAGCCUGCUUCCGAUACGGGCAGACUAGAGGUAUGCAGGGGAGAACGGAAUUCCUGGUGUAGCGGUGAAAUGCGUAGAUAUCGGAAGGAACAUCAGUGGCGAAAGCGGCUUCCUGGACCAGAACUGACGAUCAGGCACGAAAGCGUGGGGAGCAACAGG